GAGACUGAAAGCCUGCUGACGUGAGCAGCAUGGUAAAGAGCACUGGCAGCCUCAACAUAAAAGAGGCUCCCAGCUGACAACCAGGAAAGAAACGGGACUUCACCCUUCAGCCUCGAGGAAUGAGAUUCUAUCCCCAACCUGAGUGAGCCGGGAAGUGACUUCUCCCCCCAAGACUCCAGAUAAGGGCCCAGGCUAACCACCAUCUUGAUUUCACCUUGUGCAACCUGGAGCCAAGGAAUCAGUCAGACCCACAGGACUUCUGACUUGCAGAAGUGAGAGUAACCUGCACCUCUUGGCCCUGAAGAUGAUGGCCCAGCAUCAAAUCAACAGGAAGGACACUGAGGUGAUGAUGAUGGAGAUGAGCGUCAGUGUGUGCAAGUGGGAAGAUGUUCAUGCGAGUCUUCUCAAAAAGGAUUCUCCAGGCAAGACUACUGGAGUGGGUUGCCAUGCCCUCCUCCAGGGUAUCCUCCCAACCCAGGGAUCGAACGCAGGUCUGCUGCAUUGCAGGUGGAUUCUUUACCAUCUAAGCCACCAGGAAAACCCAAGAAUUCUGGAGCAUUGGACACCUGCCAAUAACAUGUCCCAGAACUCCUUACCAGCAGGCUUCCUUUCAGAUUAUGCCAAGGAAAAACACCUAGUAGCAAAACCCCUGGCCAUCAAUAGGCACAUGCUUGGCCUUCAGAAAAUAGCCAGCAGGAGGUUUUACAGCAGUUAGUGAUGGUUCUGUGAAUCAUUUAUUUUGAUGCUUCUGGCUACCAUGAUCGCUGACAAGAGUUUCCAAUUAUCUCUGCCACUUUCUGAUUUCCCAGCUAACAGCUUCUCUUGACUCUUACCUCCUUUGUCAUAUGGUGCAGUUCCCUAUUUCAAAUCUGCUCCUGCUUAAAAUGCCUAAGAUCUUUGUUUUCUGAUCAAACCAUGCCUUAUACAAUGUUUUAUUU
ensembl:lncRNA